rnacentral:rRNA from 1 species
UGGUCCCUAGUUAACUUGGGGGCAUGUGCACACCUUUCUCUUUCUCCCAUACACACCUGUGCACCUGUGAGACAGAUGUUUUCUAGAGGGGAGAAGGAACUUUAUUGGACCUACUCUUCUUGGACUCUGUCUACUUAAUCUAUAUAAACUCAAUUUAUUUUAAAAUGAAUGUAAUGGAUGUAACACAUCUAAUACUAAGUUUCAACAACGGAUCUCUUGGCUCUCGCAUCGAUGAAGAACGCAGCGAAAUGCGAUAAGUAAUGUGAAUUGCAGAAUUCAGUGAAUCAUCGAAUCUUUGAACGCACCUUGCGCUCCUUGGUAUUCCUUGGAGCAUGCCUGUUUGAGUAUCAUGAAAUCUUCAAAGUCAAACCUUUUGUUAACUCAAUUGGUUCUGCUUUGGUAUUGGAGGUCUAUUGCAGCUUCACACCUGCUCCUCUUUGUGCAUUAGCUGGAUCUCAGUGUUAUGCUUGGUUCCACUCAGCGUGAUAAGUUAUCUAUCGCUGAGGACACCCUGUUAAAAAGGGGUGGCCAAGGUAAAUGCAGAUGAACCGCGUCUAACAGUCCAUUGAAAGGACAAAUAUUCAUUUUAGAGGGUGGUCCCAGGAAAAGGG